UGGGGAAUAUUGCACAAUGGGGGAAACCCUGAUGCAGCGACGCCGCGUGAGCGAUGAAGUAUUUCGGUAUGUAAAGCUCUAUCAGCAGGGAAGAAAAAUGACGGUACCUGACUAAGAAGCCCCGGCUAACUACGUGCC
rnacentral:rRNA from 1 species